rnacentral:misc_RNA from 1 species
UCUCUCAUGGAAACAGCCAUAUUGCUUCGGCAGUUCAAUUAUUUGUAUUUCCAAAACUUUGGCUUGAACACAGAAACAAGAGUACCCUGGUAUUUGAAGGAGAUACUACAAUAAAGAAGCAGUCCAGAUCCAAUCUAAUUACCAAAAUUAGGAGAGAAAGAGUUUCUUCUCCUUCUCUUUUAAUUUUCUUGGACUAACAGAGGCAAAGAAAAGCUGGCACAGGUAGAAAGAAAAAGGUCAGAGAGAGAGAGAGAGAGAG